rnacentral:lncRNA from 1 species
UGUGACUACCAUUUCCUAUUACAAUCAUUUGACCCAGCCUGGCUCUCAUUUUUCUAUGCUCAAAGGAAAUCAGAAAGUUUGAGUGAAAUUUCUGUCACCAAAACUCAAAAUGGUCUCACUGACAAGCUGGAUUCCUGUCUACAUAACUGUUCUUCUUCACUUACAUAUCUGGAAAGCAAGGGUUCAUGCCUCUGGAACAUCUGAAGAGGAUGGAGUAGAUAUCACAUACGUUAUCAUAGGAGUUACUCUUGGAGCCAUUUUAGCUAUUGGUUUUAUAGCAUUAAAGAUCUGUAUGAUCAAAAGACAAUUGAUUGACAAUAUCCUUGGAGAGUCAGAAGGGAAAAUGGAACGAAGGUCACAGCAAGGAUCAAGUGGGAACAGAGAAGCCACCUUACCGAAAACAGAAAAUACAAAUGAUCUCUAACUGUUUUGAAAUGGGGUGCAUUCAGGCAGAAAGUCACAUACUGCUGUGCCUAUUCUAUUACUCAAUGGAAGGCUUUUGUUCGUGGACUUUUGUUGCUUUCUCAUCAGGUACAAAUUCAGUUACUUAAAAAAUUGGAGGGAGUAACUGAUUUCAGGAAAGACUUUGUUGUGUGAUCUACUGAAGAUCAUUUGCACUCAGAAAAUGCUGUGCUCGUAAAUAGCAGAUGUCUAAAGGAAAUGUAUAAUGGAAAUACAAGAGAUGAACUUUGUUCAAAGCAGCUUUCAUAUAUGGCUGUAAUAGGUAUAAGAUGUAUUUGUAAAACAAUGAACUAAAGGGUGAUCCAAAACUAGAGAUGGGCUCAGCUUGCAAAAUUCAGAUUUCAAGUACAAGUAAGCAAAAAAGUUGAACUUUUCAUGUUGACAGCAAACAGAAAAAACAGGAAAAAUAUAAAUCCUGGAUGAAACCAAAACAGAAAAUUUUCUGGUUUUACAGUGAAACAGACAAAAAGGCAGAAUUGUUUUAUGCCAUGCUGCAACAUUUCACUCAAUGCAAAAGAAGCUGUUUUGCUUAUUCUUUCACGGUUUUUCUUGAUUUCUAAGAUGAAACAUUUAGUUUUGGAAACCUUGAAACAAAAUGUUUUGACAUUUUAAACCCCACCCCCAUUUGCACAGUUCAAUCCAAAAUCAUAAAGAGUCCUCCCUUCCACCAGCUGCCAACACCAUUUUUAGCAAAUUUAUUUUUCAUAAAACUUUUUUUCUGGAUCGAAGUUCAAGCACUUUAAAGAUACUUGACAAGGAAAGAAAUCAGAGGUUUGGCUUAAACCUUUGAAAAUGCAGGGACCAUUUGCAAAAUUUUGCUUCAGGUUUAAUUUUCAAACAGCAGCCUCAUCCUGCAAAAGCUGAGUGUUUAGACGUGAGAUCUCAAAUUAACUAAGCUAUUAGAUAUUAUAUAGAAAGGAGUUUAUCCAUGUUUGUUCUUAAAUAUAUGUGCCACUUGUUAUAAACAUUGUAAUAAAAUUUUAUUUGAACCAUUUGUUGUUUUGCA